rnacentral:rRNA from 2 species
AGAAUUAAACUGAAGAGUUUGAUCCUGGCUCAGAUUGAACGCUGGUGGCAUGCUUAACACAUGCAAGUCGAACGGUAACAGGUCUUCGGAUGCUGACGAGUGGCGGACGGGUGAGUAACGCGUAGGAAUCUGCCCAUCUGUGGGGGAUACCAGUUGGAAACGACUGUUAAUACCGCAUAAUAUCUGCGGAUUAAAGGUGGCCUUUGUGCUGCCGCAGAUGGAUGAGCCUGCGUUGGAUUAGCUAGUUGGUAGGGUAAGGGCCUACCAAGGCUACGAUCCAUAGCUGAUUUGAGAGGAUGAUCAGCCACAUUGGGACUGAGACACGGCCCAAACUCCUACGGGAGGCAGCAGUGGGGAAUAUUGGACAAUGGGGGAAACCCUGAUCCAGCAAUGCCAUGUGUGUGAAGAAGGCUCUAGGGUUGUAAAGCACUUUAGUUGGGGAGGAAAGCCUAUAAGUUAAUAGCUUGUAGGAAGGACGUUACCCAAAGAAUAAGGACCGGCUAACUCCGUGCCAGCAGCCGCGGUAAUACGGGGGGUCCGAGCGUUAAUCGGAAUUACUGGGCGUAAAGGGUCUGUAGGUGGUUUGUUAAGUCAGAUGUGAAAGCCCAGGGCUCAACCUUGGAACUGCAUUUGAUACUGGCAAACUAGAGUAUGGUAGAGGAAUGGGGAAUUUCUGGUGUAGCGGUGAAAUGCGUAGAGAUCAGAAGGAACACCAAUGGCGAAGGCAACAUUCUGGAUCAAUACUGACACUGAGGGACGAAAGCGUGGGGAUCAAACAGGAUUAGAUACCCUGGUAGUCCACGCUGUAAACGAUGAGUACUAGCUGUUGGAUUCGGUGUAAAGGAUCUAGUGGCGCAGCUAACGCGUUAAGUACUCCGCCUGGGGACUACGGCCGCAAGGCUAAAACUCAAAGGAAUUGACGGGGACCCGCACAAGCGGUGGAGCAUGUGGUUUAAUUCGAUGCAACGCGAAGAACCUUACCUGGUCUUGACAUCCUGCGAACUUUCUAGAGAUAGAUUGGUGCCUUCGGGAACGCAGUGACAGGUGCUGCACGGCUGUCGUCAGCUCGUGUUGUGAAAUGUUGGGUUAAGUCCCGCAACGAGCGCAACCCCUAUUGAUAGUUACCAUCAUUAAGUUGGGUACUCUAUUGAGACUGCCGCUGACAAGGCGGAGGAAGGUGGGGACGACGUCAAGUCAUCAUGGCCCUUACGACCAGGGCUACACACGUGCUACAAUGGGUAUUACAGAGGGCUGCGAAGGUGCGAGCUGGAGCGAAACUCAGAAAGGUACUCUUAGUCCGGAUUGCAGUCUGCAACUCGACUGCAUGAAGUCGGAAUCGCUAGUAAUCGCAGGUCAGAAUACUGCGGUGAAUACGUUCCCGGGUCUUGUACACACCGCCCGUCACACCAUGGGAGUGGGUUGCUCCAGAAGUAGAUAGUUUAACGAAUGGGCGUUUACCACGGAGUGAUUCAUGACUGGGGUGAAGUCGUAACAAGGUAGCCGUAGGGGAACCUGCGGCUGGAUCACCUCCUUAACGGAAAU